UACGUAGGGUGCGAGCGUUAAUCGGAAUUACUGGGCGUAAAGCGUGCGCAGGCGGUUUGGUAAGACAGAUGUGAAAUCCCCGGGCUUAACCUGGGAAUGGCAUUUGUGACUGCCCGGCUAGAGUGUGUCAGAGGGAGGUAGAAUUCCACGUGUAGCAGUGAAAUGCGUAGAUAUGUGGAGGAAUACCGAUGGCGAAGGCAGCCUCCUGGGAUAACACUGACGCUCAUGCACGAAAGCGUGGGGAGCAAACAGG
rnacentral:rRNA from 1 species